rnacentral:rRNA from 1 species
UACGUAGGGGGCAAGCGUUGUCCGGAAUCAUUGGGCGUAAAGCGCGUGUAGGCGGUUCGGUAAGUCUGUUGUGAAAGCCCCGGGCUCAACCUGGGAAUGGCAAUGGAUACUGGCAAGCUAGAGUGCGGUAGAGGGUAGUGGAAUUCCCGGUGUAGCGGUGAAAUGCGUAGAGAUCGGGAGGAACACCAGUGGCGAAGGCGGCUACCUGGACCAGCACUGACACUGAGGCACGAAAGCGUGGGGAGCAAACAGG